GUUGUUGCAGUUAAAAAGCUCGUAGUUGGAUUUCUGGCUGGAGCGAUCGGCCCGCCCCGCAAGGGGCGUGUACUAGCGUCGUCUCCGACCAUCCUUGUGGGAACUGUGCGGCCGUUAACUCGGUUGUCUAUGGGAACACAUCGUUUACUGUGAAAAAAUUAGAGUGUUUAAAGCAGGCUUAACCCGUUGAAUACCUUAGCAUGGAAUAAUAAGAUAAGACUUGGGUCAUUAUUUUGUUGGUUUGCGGAUCGAGGUAAUGAUUAAUAGGGAUAGUUGGGGGUAUUCAUAUUUAAUUGUCACAGGUGAAAUUCUUGGAUUUAUGAAAGAUGAACUUAGGCGAAAGCAUUUACCAAGGAUGUUUUCAUUAAUCAAGAACGAACGUUAGGGGAUCGAAGAUGAUUAGAUACCAUUGUAGUCUUAACCAUAAACUAUGCCCACUAGGGAUUGGCGGUCGUUACUUACUGACUCCGUCAGCACCUUAUGAGAAAUCAAAGUCUUUGGUUUCCGGGGGGAGUAUGGUCGCAAGGCUGACACUUAAGGGAAUUGACGGAAGGGCACCACCAGGAGUGGAGCCUGCGGCUUAAUUUGACUCAACACGGCAAAACUUACCAGGUCCAGACAUAGUAAGGAUUGACAGAUUGACAGCUCUUUCUUGAUUCUAUGGGUGGCGGAGCAUGGCCGUUCUUAGUCGGUGGAGUGACUUGUCUGGUUAAUUCCGCUAACGGACGAGACCGUCCGCUGCUAAAUAAUGACGCGAAUGACCUCGGUCAUUGGCGGGCACUUCC
rnacentral:rRNA from 1 species